UCAAUAUACGACCAGGGGUUUCACUAGACCCAGGCUUUCGCGGAUCUAGUCCUGGAUGUUUUUUGAUCAGCACCUAGUUUUCUGCGAGCUGAUAUUAACACAGCGAUGGAAUCAACAUUUGCAAGGCGAGCAAACAAGUUCUUCUUGAAUCGUGACUUCUUUUUGCGCUGUGUAUUGUCAUAUAUCGUAAGAGAAAAAAAGCAACCGGGGCUGUCAAAACAAGCAACAUUGGAGCUGCACCCGAAGCCCCCCAAACCAACGCAUUUUUACGCACACGUGUACCAUUUAGGAGAAUAUUUAAGAAAAUUGUAACGGAGGAGCUUUGGGCAGGCUACUCCUUGAAGGGCAGGAUGCAGAAUGCUGUCGCACUAGCAGAUGGAGCAAGAUGUUGAGGAGGAGAGCACAGAUGAAAAACCAGCACCUGAAUACAUUUUCCUUUUUUUAGCAGUACCAACUUUAGUGUUGUAGGAUUCUUUAGGUGUUGUUUAAAUAAAUUGCUCAAGCAGUACCAACAAAGUUCAGUGAUUCAAGUCUUUAUUCACUGAGGUCAGGGGAGGUUCCAAUACAUUGUAUACAAACCAUACAUGCAGAGGACUCCAAAUCAGUAGCUAUAGUUUAACAUCCUUUCUCAUACCAUUUCUAGACAUUUGUUAUAACAUGAUUGGUUCAAAAUAUUUUGUAUACAUGAUUGUGACACCAAAAGAGAA